rnacentral:pre_miRNA from 8 species
AAGGACCCUUGGGGCGAGGGGCUGCGGGAGGAGCCGGGCGGAGGCUGCGGCUUUCGUUUCUCUGGUCUCUCCUCCUCCUCUUU